rnacentral:lncRNA from 1 species
GGAAAAAGUUGCUUCAGUAGAAUCCCAGGGUCAAGAAAUUUCAGGAAACCGAAGACAACAGUUGCUGCUGAUGCUAGAAGGACUAGUAGAUGAACGGAGUCGGCUCAGUGAGGCCUUACAAGCAGAGAGACAGCUCUAUAGCAGUCUGGUGAAGUUUCAUGCCCAUCCAGAGAGCUCUGAGAGAGACCGAACUCUGCAGGUGGAACUGGAAGGUGCUCAGGUGUUACGCAGUCGGCUAGAAGAAGUUCUUGGAAGAAGCUUGGAGCGCUUAAACAGGCUGGAGACCCUGGCCGCCAUUGGAGGUGAGGAACUGGAAAGUGUGCGAAUUCAUCACAAGCAUGCCUACUGAGCACUGGCGGGUCAGACUGCAGCCCAGGAUGGAAAACCUUGUUUGCACUAACCAGAAAGAUCCUUAUCUGAUUUUGGCAGAAUUAAACGGUGACUUACUAAUGAUAGAACUGGUACAAGUAGCAUCAACUACAAAGUGAAACUCACUUUAGCCUACAUGGAUCUCACUGUACAUACAUAUCAAUCCCCAAAUUGAAUGGUGGAGGUUGCAAAGUGUAUUUGCACAUUUUAAAUCAUUCUGCUUUAGUUUUUCCACUUUUAUUCAUUCUUAUCCCUAGCCCCUUCUCAUUCCCUCAUCCCUUCUGUGGGCCAAUAAAGUUUAUUCUUCCCCCACUUUCACAAUCCA